GCCGGCGGUGGAGAACGCGGUGGACCGCGCCCACCACCAGUGGGCGCGGAUCGAGGACGUGGAGCAGGCCCGCGAACUCGGCGCGGAGCUGGCC
rnacentral:tRNA from 1 species